rnacentral:rRNA from 1 species
UGCCCAUUGUGGGGAUAACCCGGCGAAAGCCGGGCUAAUACCGCAUACGCUCUACGGAGGAAAGCAGGGGAUCGUAAGACCUUGCGCUAAUGGAUGAGCCUACGUCGGAUUAGCUAGUUGGUAGGGUAACGGCCUACCAAGGCGACGAUCCGUAGCUGGUCUGAGAGGACGACCAGCCACACUGGGACUGAGACACGGCCCAGACUCCUACGGGAGGCAGCAGUGGGGAAUUUUGGACAAUGGGGGCAACCCUGAUCCAGCCAUGCCGCGUGUGUGAAGAAGGCCUUCGGGUUGUAAAGCACUUUCGGACGGAACGAAAUCGCGCGGGUGAAUAUCCCGCGUGGAUGACGGUACCGUAAGAAGAAGCACCGGCUAACUACGUGCCAGCAGCCGCGGUAAUACGUAGGGUGCGAGCGUUAAUCGGAAUUACUGGGCGUAAAGUGUGCGCAGGUGGCCUCGCAAGUCGAGUGUGAAAUCCCCGGGCUUAACUUGGGAAUUGCGCUCGAAACUACGGGGCUCGAGUGUGGCAGAGGGAGGUGGAAUUCCACGUGUAGCGGUGAAAUGCGUAGAGAUGUGGAGGAACACCAAUGGCGAAGGCAGCCUCCUGGGCCAACACUGACGCUCAUGCACGAAAGCGUGGGGAGCAAACAGGAUUAGAUACCCUAGUAGUCCACGCCCUAAACGAUGAUGACUA